AUUUUUUUUUUUUUUUUUUUUUGCAAAAGAGAUGAAAGGCAAAGAGGUCCCACCAAGCGUGCUAGAAAUUUCUAAGCAUAAAUUUCGCUAAUAGUCUUAUGAUGUAAGCAAAAAAAUAGGAAAAAUAUGUGAAACAAAUUAUUUAUAAAUUGUAGGGUACAAUCUUUUUGGUAAUAUUCUUUACAAAAGAAUAUGUCCUUGUAAUUCUUUCACCUUGAUCACAAUAUGGAAGGCAAAAAUGAUGUUUUCUUGAUUUCAAAGAUCAAUCGAGGGCUACAAAUGACUUAUUCUCGAAUGAAAUUGUUGGCCGCGAAUAUCAAGUGUGUAGAACUUUUAUCAUUUCUUAGAUUGGUAGCGAGAUUUUAUGAAACUUUUUCUUCUUUGUGAAGCCUUUUUUCAUGUGUAGAGUCGUUUUUACUGAUUUGAAGUUUUGGAUUGAAGUUUUUAAGGGUUCAUUGAUUGUACAUGGUCGCUUUCUUAGGGAUAGGUACUGAGAAUUGAAGAUUGUGUAGGGGUUUGAUUGAUAUUAGUAUUAAGGUUUUGAAGGAUUUCUUUGAUUGUACAUUGUGGAAUUUUUAGGAUAUUAAAUUGAGAAUUGGAAGAAGGUUUUGAUGGUUGAUUUAUGAUUAUCCAUGGUGGAUUUCUUAGGGCUUUGUAUUAAGAAUUGGAAAGUUAAGUGUUUUGAUGGAUGUUGAAGAGAUCAAGUUGUUUUAUGUUAAUUGACGAUUAGUGGCUGUUCGUGAUGGAUUUCUGAGGGUCAAAGAUUUAAGGGGUUUCUCGAUGUUGAUAUUGGGGUUUUGAAGGUUGUGUUUGAUGCAGCAAACUUACAUGUUCUACCUACGUAUUUUUUGUGAUAUAGCCAUGGACAUCAAGCCAUCAAGAUUGGUUGGAGACAAAGGCAAAGAUGAAAGGGGAGGAAGACAUGUGAACAACAUGGUUUGUUCCUUUUGGCUCCGUGGGAGGUGCAACAGAAACCCUUGUAGGUUCCUGCACCAAGACUUGCCCCAAAACGCCCACUAUCAAAUAUCAAUUCAGUUCCGCAAAAACUGCUGGCAGAGGAAUCCCGACUCUGAUUUGAAGAGUGAUUCAACUUCAAAAACUCUGCAGGGGUCAUCAGGUUCAACAACUCCAAAGUGUUCAUUAGCUUCAAAUCAAUCCCAUGGAAACAACAGGGAGAGGAGUCUCUAUUCUGAACAGAAGGGUGAAUGGGACUCAACUAAUCUAAGGUGUUCAUCAAGUGCAACAAGAGCAGGAAGUAGCUCUGGAAAUGGAAUUAUACAGAAAGUAAUUGGAGAUAGGGUCUGCAAGUACUGGCUACAUGGAAAUUGUGUGGAGGCAGAUAAGUGCCGGUGUCUCCAUUCAUGGUUUAAGGGCCAUGGGGUUUUCGAGUUGGCCGAGCUUAAUGGGCACAUUAAGAAUGGCACUAUAUAUGCAUGGAAACCCAAAAAGGAAACCAAUGCAUUUGAGCUGGCUACAACAUUGGGAGGCGACAAUGGUGCUGUGGUUUCGCUCUCAGUAGGUGGUGGGAGGCUAUAUUCUGGUUCCAUGGACAAUACAAUAAGAGUGGCAACUUGGACGUGACCUAUACACAUAAUGAAGGACAUGCAAGUUAUUGUCAUUCAUUUCUUUUUAUAUCAUGGUGGAUUUUGGUUUUGUGCAUUUUGGUUUGCUUCUACGAACCUUUUUAUCAAGGGAAUGUGAGCAAUAAUGGUGAUAUAUUCUGCUUCUUGUUACAGGGUGUGCUUGCUCUUUUUGGUAUGAACGUUUCAGAAGGAAAACCAAUACUGUUGUGCUCUUGCAAUGACAAUUCUGUUCGGCUAUAUGAAUUACCAUCAUGAGUAUAAACAUCACUUUUUAGAUUCACCGAGAGGGCCAGGAUAUUUGCAAAAGAAGUCCGAGAAAUUCAAAUAGGUCCUGGGGAACCUUUUUUCACUGGGGAUGGAACUGGACAAGUUGAUGUUUGGAAAUGGCAGGCGGAGCCAACUUCAUUGGCAUCCUGAAUGAUGGAAGGCAGCUGUCAUCUCCAGAAAGCCAUUCUCUGUUUCUUGUUUUGUUCCGUCAUGUUCAUGAUAUUUCUAUUGAAAACUGUAUAGAGGCUUUUAGUAGGUUGUGAAUAUAAUCAUCGACACGAAGAAUUCUUACAAACUGUAAAUUUGUAAUCAGCAUUCAUUCAAAGAAAAUUCAUUGUCAUAUUAGUAUUUCCAUUUUCAA